CCCCAGGUGGUGGAAUGGUAGACACAAGGGACUUAAAAUCCUUUGGCAGCAAUGCCGUACGAGUUCGAGUCUCGUUCUGGGGA
rnacentral:tRNA from 1 species